UGUUUUGGGGCGUGAUCGAAGCAAGCAUCAUUCUGUGUUCGACUGGUUUUUUGUUGGUAUGUCGAGUGCUCCAAAAACGGGAUGUUAUGUCAUAUGAUAGUGUUCUGAGCAUCAUCCACUUUCUGAAUGAUUCGGAUACGGGUACUCGAGGAAUUCAGUCAAUUCAAGGAGGAUGUUUCGGUUCAGUGUAAGUCUAGUCUCUAUCCCAAACGAAACACAGCCCGCACGCCGCACUACCCGCACCCAAGUAAAGUUUGAAGCAACGUAAAGUUUUACAAAAUCUUCAGUAAAAUGAAAAUUGGAUGGCACAUUAUGGAACUUUAUAAACAUGGUUUGUUUAAAUGUUUAAAAUACAGUUACAUCACCCGUGCAUUAGGUACAUUCCACUCCAGUAUGCGCGCAGCCUAUAAGUUCAGUGAGGAUUUGAAGCGUUUACCGAGGAAUCCAAACAAAUCCGGACUAUUAACAGAUCUGCCGGAUUAUACCUUCUUGGAUGGUAGAGUUACUCCAUUGGGGGUUAGUAGAAGUCAAUUAUGUUAUCGGGUGGCCACUCAGUCGGUUUCGUUUUAAAUUUGAGUACAGUAGAUGUCUCGGUUAUCGAAUGUUAUUCGCUAAAACUGCAACGACUGACAGACGGCAAACCGUGUUGGCAGAGGAAGCUCUCAAUUAAUAACUGAGGAAGUACUUAUAGAAAACUAGCUGAAAAACAAGUUUUAUCCAAGUGAGGACGUUACGACAAAGAAAAAAAGAUAAACAAUGAUUUUUCUAUUGUUCCCAAAUAAAUUAAAGAAAUCUAAUAAAUAGAAAACUACCAUUGAUAACAAUACAAAUACAAUUAGUUUAAUGGGGUCAAUUGAACCGGAUGUUAAAAUGAACAUGCAAUAAUAUUUGUUGUUAUGUAAACAGAUUUCGCCUUUGAAAACCCAUAGAAUUCAUAUUUCUCGGUAACAUUUUUCUUCAGCAUUUACAGGUACUAAUGGCCACAUGAAUUGUGAACGAUUUAUAGUAUGGAUCAUAUGACCUGGGAUCUGACUUGUGAUAUUCGAUAGUUAUUUGAAAAGAUUGAUGAUAGAUCUCAUCAACAGCAGCCAAGCAAUAUAUACCAGACAGACAUUAGAGUGUAUGAUUCUUAUUAUAAAUAAAAUAAAAUGUGCAUAUCAUUCUAGCGGCCGUUAGUGCUCGUAAAUGCUGGAUAUAAAUGUAAGCGGGAAAUAUAAAUUCUAUGGAUUUUCAAAAGCGAAAACUGCUUACAAACAACAUCAAAUAUAAUUGUAUUUUUAAUGUAACAACGAUUCAUUUGACGCCAUUUAAUGAAUUGUAUUUGUAUUGUAAUAACAAUGAAAAAACAUUAGGAUGUAUUGUUUUCUUUUGAAAAUUGCCCUAAAAAUGUCUCAUAAAAACACAAUACAUUCUAUUGUUUCUCGCGGAAAAAUGUAUGAAAAUUUUCUCAAAAUUUUAUGGUUAAGAUACAUAACGACCACCAUUUUUUGUUGUAAAUGUGCCAUUUACCAUUUGCUGAAUGGUAUAGAACAAUAGGGGUGAUGGUGUGGGUGUGCUGUGCAAAUUACAAUACGUUUAAUGGUGAAUAAUUUUCGAAAAAAUGGUGUUGUAACAAUAAAAUUUAUCGUAUUUUUAUGACAUUUUUUAUCAGGGAUGGGAUUUCGUCCGAUGUCGCGUGCUUUUGCUUCGGUCGUUCGAUUUUUCUUUUUCCCUUUUCGGAAAUGAGCAUUUCGUAUAGACACUAUAGAUUCCAUAGACUCGCGGAGGCGAAGACAACUGUAGCCAAACGAACUGUCAGUUCGUGUAGCCAAACGAGCAUGACGUCACAAAUUCAAUAACGACAAUGGAUUGCGUGACGUCAUAUUCGCUCGGUACACUCUAAAUUCACGGCAAAACACACAAAAAUCGUAUUGCUCAACCAUGUCUCCGCGAGUCUAUGGAAUCUAUAGUGUCUAUAGCAUUUCGUUGUAUCGCGUUUUUGUAGCAACACUGAACGAUCACCUGACGUGGGUGAUCAGUUGUUUGCUUCUCAUAUGAAGUGAACAAUAGUGCUUCAGCUUGCAUGUUCGGUCGUGUCAUUUACAGUUAAAUAUUUGGCGACUAGCUUCCGCGGUUCGAUUCGAAAUAAGUGACCACCUGACGUGGGUGAUCGAUUGUUUACUUUCCGAGUGAAGCAAAUGAUAGUGUGUUAGAUUGCAUAUUUUGUCGCGUCGUUUGCAGUAAAUAUUAAGCGACCACCUGAUACGGGUGGUCGAUUGUUUGCUUUCCGCGUAAAGCAAACAAUAGCGCGACAACCAGCAUGACACGAAGGUCAUAUUACUUAUCAAAGUGAAUCCAGACCCAACGAUACCUUUCCUACUAACAAACACUCCUUCCUGCAGCCUUUGGUGGAGUCGCAGCGGUAAACGCGGGCCUUCACUUAACAAAGGUUGUUACUAAUAUUCCUUCCCUCUUCCAACCUGACUGCAAGGACGUGGCCGGCGCCGUUAUUGUACCGUUAAAGAGAGUCUCUGAAGCGUGCACAGUGAGAAUAUUGACCACUCCCAGUCAAUUAUUCAGUUGAUUCAUUGUGCAACUGUCAUUGGUUCGGG